CACGUAGGGUGCGAGCGUUGUCCGGAAUUAUUGGGCGUAAAGAGCUCGUAGGCGGUGUGUCGCGUCGGCCGUGAAAACCUGCAGCUUAACUGUGGCUUGCGGUCGAUACGGGCAUCACUGGAGUUCGGCAGGGGAGACUGGAAUUCCUGGUGUAGCGGUGAAAUGCGCAGAUAUCAGGAGGAACACCGGUGGCGAAGGCGGGUCUCUGGGCCGAUACUGACGCUGAGGAGCGAAAGCGUGGGGAGC
rnacentral:rRNA from 1 species